CGGCGUUUCCUGGUGACGGAGCCGGGCGCCGAGGCCAUGGGAAGCCAGGAGGUGCUGGGCCAGGCGGCCCGCUUGGCCUCCUCCGGUCUCCUCCUGCAGGUGUUGUUUCGAUUGAUCACCUUUGUCUUGAAUGCAUUUAUCCUUCGCUUCCUGUCCAAGGAAAUCGUUGGCAUAGUGAAUGUAAGGCUAACACUGCUUUACUCGACCACCAUCUUCCUGGCCAGAGAGGCCUUCCGUAGGGCAUGUCUGAGUGGGAGCACCCAGCGAGACUGGAGCCAGACCAUCAACCUCCUGUGGCUAACGGUCCCUCUGGGUGUGUUUUGGUCUUUGUUCCUGGGCUGGGUCUGGCUACGGUUGCUUGAAGUGCCUAAUCCUAAUGUCAUCCCCCACUAUGGAACUGGAGUGGUAGUGUUUGGUCUCUCGGCUGUGGUGGAGCUUCUGGGAGAACCCUUCUGGGUCUUGGCACAAGCACAUAUGUUUGUCAAGCUCAAGGUGAUUGCUGAGAGCUUGUCGGUAAUCCUCAAGAGCGUGUUGACAGCUCUUCUCGUGCUGUGGCUGCCUCACUGGGGACUGUACAUUUUCUCUUUGGCCCAGCUUUUCUAUACUGCAAUUCUGGUGCUCUGCUAUGUUAUUUAUUUCAAAAAGUUACUGGGUUUCUCAGGAUCAACCAAACAACAAACUUUUCCUGUCUCCAGAAUGACAGAUCUGCUACCCAAAAUUCUGAGAAGUAGAGCUUUUGUAAAUUGGAAAGAGGCUAAAUUGACUUGGAGUUUUUUCAAACAGUCUUUCUUGAAACAGAUUUUGACAGAAGGGGAGCGAUAUGUGAUGACAUUUUUGAAUGUGUUAAAUUUUGGCGAUCAGGGUGUGUAUGAUAUAGUGAAUAAUCUUGGCUCCCUUGUGGCCAGGUUAAUUUUCCAGCCAAUCGAGGAGAGUUUUUAUGUAUUCUUUGCCAAGGUGCUGGAGAGAGAAAAGGAUGCCACACUCCAGAAGCAGGAGGAUGUCGCUGUGGCCGCUGCGGUUUUGGAGUCCCUGCUCAAGCUGGCCCUGCUGACCGGCCUGACCAUCACUGUUUUUGGGUUUGCCUACUCUCAGCUGGCUUUGGAUAUAUAUGGAGGGACCAUGCUUAGCUCAGGAUCAGGUCCUGUCUUGCUGCGCUCCUACUGUGUCUAUGUCCUCCUGCUUGCCAUCAACGGAAUAACCGAGUGCUUCACAUUUGCUGCCAUGAGCAAAGAGCAGGUCGACAGGUACAAUUUCACAAUGUUGGCCCUGUCAUCUUCGUUCCUGGUGUUGUCCUAUCUCCUGACCCGUUGGUGUGGCAGUGUGGGCUUCAUCUUGGCCAACUGCUUUAACAUGGGCAUCCGGAUCACACAGAGCCUUUGCUUCAUCCAUCGCUACUACCGUGAGAGCCCCUAUAGGCCCCUGGCUGGCCUGCAGCUGUCGCCAGUCCUCCUUGGAGCAUUUGCCCUCAGUGGUGGGAUUACUGGUGUUUCAGAGGUCUUCCUCUGCUGUGAGCAGGGCUGGCUGGCCAGGCUGGGGCACGUUGCCGUGGGGGCUUUCUGUUUGGGAGCGACUCUUGAGACAGCGUUCCUCACAGAGACCAAGCUGAUCCACUUUCUUAGGACCCAAUUCGGUGUGUCCAGACUUGCUGACAAAAUUAGGUGACCUUAGGGAUUCACUGGCACCUGUGCACCUGGACCAGCUGUAGGAAGAACACGUUUCCUAGUCAAAAGAGGCCUGCAGAGGGGUCUGCAGUGGAUUGAGACCAACCUGAGCAGGCCACACACAUGUGACUUCAGAACUAGCCUCGGAGGGGAUGCUGCUGCACUGCUUCAGCUUACUUGGAGGGACUCCUGGCUCCAGAGGUGCUGUGUCUGUCCCCCUCCCUGCCAUUUCCCAGCCUCAGGCCCUUCCUCCUGUCUUUUUUCUUUUUAAAAUAUUUUUGUUGAUUUUUUUUAGAGAGAGAGCAAGGGAGAG